rnacentral:rRNA from 1 species
UGGCGGCGUGCUUACCACAUGCAAGUCGAACGGAAAGGCCUGCAGCUUGCUGCGGGUACUCGCAGUGGCGAACGGGUGGAGUAACACGUGGGUGAUCUGCCUUGCACUUCGGGAUAAGCUUGGGAAACUGGGUCUAAUACCGGAUAGGACAGCUGUUUAGUGUCAGUUGUGGAAAGUUUUUUCGGUGCAAGAUGAGCUCGCGGCCUAUCAGCUUGUUGGUGGGGUAAUGGCCUACCAAGGCGUCGACGGGUAGCCGGCCUGAGAGGGUGUACGGCCACAUUGGGACUGAGAUACGGCCCAGACUCCUACGGGAGGCAGCAGUGGGGAAUAUUGCACAAUGGGCGGAAGCCUGAUGCAGCGACGCCGCGUGGGGGAUGAAGGCCUUCGGGUUGUAAACUCCUUUCGACAGGGACGAAGCGUAAGUGACGGUACCUGUAUAAGAAGCACCGGUAACUACGUGCCAGCAGCCGCGGUAAUACGUAGGGUGCGAGCGUNGUCCGGAAUUACUGGGCGUAAAGAGCUCGUAAGUGGUUUGUCGCGUCGUCUGUGAAAUUCCGGGGCUUAAUCCGGGCGUGCAGGCGAUACCGGGCUGACUUGAGUGCUGGAGGGGGAGACUGGG